AUUGAACGCUGGCGGUAGGCCUAACACAUGCAAGUCGAACGAGUGGCGGACGGGUGAGUAACGUCUGGGAAACUGCCUGAUGGAGGGGGAUAACUACUGGAAACGGUAGCUAAUACCGCAUACCAUCAGAUGUGCCCAGAUGGGAUUAGCUAGUUGGUGGGGUAACGGCUCACCAAGGCGACGACCCCUAGCUGGUCCGAGAGGAUGACCAGCCACACUGGAACGGGGACACGGACCGAACUCCUACGGAAGGCGGCAGUGGGAAAUAUUGCACAAUGGGCGCAAGCCUGAUGCAGCCAUGCCGCGUGUAUAAAGAAGGCCUUCGGGUUGUAAAGUACUUUCAGCGGGGAGACGUUACCCACAGAAGAAGCACCGGCUAACUCCGUGCCAGCAGCCGCGGUAAUUC
rnacentral:rRNA from 1 species